UUAAUUGAAGAGUUUGAUCAUGGCUCAGAUUGAACGCUGGCGGCAGGCCUAACACAUGCAAGUCGAGCGGUAACAGAAAGAAAGCUUGCUUUCUUUGCUGACGAGCGGCGGACGGGUGAGUAAUGCCUGGGAAUAUACCCUGAUGUGGGGGAUAACUAUUGGAAACGAUAGCUAAUACCGCAUAAUCUCUUCGGAGCAAAGAGGGGGACCUUCGGGCCUCUCGCGUCAGGAUUAGCCCAGGUGGGAUUAGCUAGUUGGUGGGGUAAUGGCUCACCAAGGCGACGAUCCCUAGCUGGUCUGAGAGG
rnacentral:rRNA from 1 species